rnacentral:rRNA from 1 species
AAUGAACGCUGGCGGCAUGCCUAACACAUGCAAGUCGAACGAAGGCUUCGGCCUUAGUGGCGCACGGGUGCGUAACGCGUGGGAAUCUGCCUUGGGGUUCGGAAUAACUCCCCGAAAGGGGUGCUAAUACCGGAUGAUGUCGAAAGACCAAAGAUUUAUACGCCCUGAGAUGAGCCCGCGUAAGAUUAGCUAGUUGGUGGGGUAAAGGCCUACCAAGGCGACGAUCUUUAGCUGGUCUGGGAGGAUGAUCAGCCACACUGGGACUGAGACACGGUCGGGAGCCCUACGGGGGGCAGCGGUGGGGGAUAUUGGACAAUGGGCGAAAGCCUGAUCAAGCGAUGCCGCGUGAGUGAUGAAGGCAAUAGGAUUGUAAAGGUCUUUGACCCGGGAUGAGAAUGACAGUACCGGGAGAAGAUGCCCCGGCUAACUCCGUGCCAGCCGCCGCCGUAAAAC